rnacentral:miRNA from 1 species
AAUGUGUGUGUGUGUGCGUGCGCGUGCGCACGCGCACACACACACACACACACACACACAUA